rnacentral:rRNA from 1 species
UACGUAGGGUGCGAGCGUUAAUCGGAAUUACUGGGCGUAAAGCGUGCGCAGGCGGUGAGCUGUGUCCGAUGUGAAAGCCCCGGGCUUAACCUGGGAAUGGCCGUUGAAACUGGCGAACUGGAGUGUGGCAGAGGGGGGUGGAAUUCCGCGUGUAGCAGUGAAAUGCGUAGAGAUGCGGAGGAACACCGAUGGCGAAGGCAGCCCCCUGGGCUGACACUGACGCUCAGGCACGAAAGCGUGGGGAGCAAACAGG